rnacentral:piRNA from 1 species
GAGAGAGCCCAGAGGGUUUUAGCAUGC